rnacentral:rRNA from 1 species
AGCGAACGCUGGCGGCAGGCUUAACACAUGCAAGUCGAGCGGGCGUAGCAAUACGUCAGCGGCAGACGGGUGAGUAACGCGUGGGAACGUACCUUUUGGUUCGGAACAACCCAGGGAAACUUGGGCUAAUACCGGAUAAGCCCUUACGGGGAAAGAUUUAUCGCCGAAAGAUCGGCCCGCGCCUGAUUAGCUAGUUGGUGAGGUAACGGCUCACCAAGGCGACGAUCAGUAGCUGGUCUGAGAGGAUGAUCAGCCACAUUGGGACUGAGACACGGCCCAAACUCCUACGGGAGGCAGCAGUGGGGAAUAUUGGACAAUGGGCGCAAGCCUGAUCCAGCCAUGCCGCGUGAGUGAUGAAGGCCCUAGGGUUGUAAAGCUUCUUUUGUGCGGGAAGAUAAUGACGGUACCGCAAGAAUAAGCCCCGGCUAACUUCGUGCCAGCAGCCGCGGUAA